GUUUAAUCAAACACAGCUGGACUUCAAUGAAGGAGUAGCAGUAUCUCAGGGAAGAUCAGAAGAAAUGGACAGCAUACAUGCCUGGCACCACCAAGUGCAGGAAAUGCCACCAGUGUCAGGACAUUUUCCUCUCAUCACGGCCGACUUGAGGAUAAACAAAAGGCACAACUCGGUUUCCGAAAGUGAGAGACGGAGCUUCACACGGAAUGAUGAAUGAAGCACGUCGUGGUCGACUUGUCCUUGCUGGAUGGGGACUGAUGAGAAGGUCCACGUAUGUUGAGAUGGAAGAGCGGAGGAAACAUUCAGUCUGUAGAUGUGCACAGCUGAUAGAUGGUCACCUCAGGAGACUUAAAACUGCAAUUACAGACAUGUGGAUGCCUUUCUUAGAAGAAAGCAAGGUAGAGCAAAUACCUGAGAUUGGGAGUAUACAGCCAGAUCACUGAAGCAACUACUGGUACAUUGACUAUAAUCUCAGUGUUUGUCUGAUUGUGAAUGUUUAGACAAUUAACUGAAAGGAUAUGUGUCGCAAAGCAUCUGUGCAGUAAUGCGUACAACAUACGCACAUGUUUUACUGUUGUUUUUCUUUUUUUAUCAUAAAGCUCUGUGAGAAUAAAAAUAUAAAAUUUUGGAGAACCAAGGUCGAACUAUAAGUGACACUGAUUUAUUUGAGGUGUAUUCUGUAUUUCUAAAUGUAAAGAUUUCAAAACUGUAUGAUUUAUAGUUAUAGAUUUGCCUCCUCCACUGUGUUAUUGCUGCUUCACUUGUGUCAUUGACAGAUGUUUGAGGAUGGAAGAAUGAAAGAAAUGCAACAGUGAGAAACAAAAUAAACCUGUUUUGAUUUUGAUGGCAAGCCCUAUCAAAUAUUUCUGUGAUUUUUAAGUGCAGCCUUUUACUACAUAGACUCCCGAGGACAUGAUUUACUCAAGAUCUUUCUUUGCAUUUGUAUGAAAUAAAUUUUGCAAGGUUUCUCCUUGCGCUG